UACGUAGGGUGCAAGCGUUGUCCGGAAUUAUUGGGCGUAAAGAGCUCGUAGGCGGUUUGUCGCGUCUGCUGUGAAAACCCGAGGCUCAACCUCGGGCCUGCAGUGGGUACGGGCAGACUAGAGUGCGGUAGGGGAGAAUGGAAUUCCCGGUGUAGCGGUGAAAUGCGCAGAUAUCGGGAGGAACACCGGUGGCGAAGGCGGUUCUCUGGGCCUUACCUGACGCUGAGGAGCGAAAGCGUGGGGAGCGAACAGG
rnacentral:rRNA from 1 species